rnacentral:rRNA from 1 species
GACGAACGCUGGCGGCAUGCUUAACACAUGCAAGUCGAACGGAAAGGCCCCUUUGUUGGUACUCGAGUGGCGAACGGGGGAGUAACACGUGAGUAACCUUCCCUUAACUUCGGGAUAAAUUCAGGAAACUGGCGCUAAUACCGUAUAGGAAUCCGUGCUGCCUGCAGGGGGUUGGAAAGCUUCGGCUGUUUUGGAUGGACUCGCGGCUUAUCAGCUAGUUGGCGGGGCAGUGGCUUACCAAGGCGUUGACGGGUAGCCGGCCUGAGAGGGCGACCGGCCACAUUGGGACUGAGAUACGGCCCAGACUCCUACGGGAGGCAGCAGUGGGGAAUAUUGCACAAUGGGCGGGAGCCUGAUGCAGCAACGCCGCGUGCGGGAUGACGGCCUUCGGGUUGGAAACCGCUUUCAGCAGGGGCGAAGCUUGUGGUGACGGUACCUGCAGAAGAAGCACCGGCUAACUACGUG